rnacentral:rRNA from 1 species
GGAUUGCCCCAGUAACGGCGAGUGAAGCGGCAACAGCUCAGAUUUGAAAUCCGGCCUCGGCCCGAGUUGUAAUCUGCAGGGGAUGUCCCUGGCGCGGCGCCUACCGAGUUCCCUGGAACGGGACGCCAUAGAGGGUGAGAGCCCCGUAUGGUUGGACGCCUAGCCUCUGUGGGACUCCUCCGACGAGUCGAGUAGUUUGGGAAUGCUGCUCAAAUUGGGAGGUAAAUCUCUUCUAAAGCUAAAUACCGGCCAGAGACCGAUAGCGCACAAGUAGAGUGAUCGAAAGAUGAAAAGCACCUUGGAAAGGGGGUUAAACAGCACGUGAAAUUGUUGAAAGGGAAGCGCCCAUGACCAGACUCGCGCCGGGCGGAUCAUCCAGCGUUCUCGCUGGUGCACUCCGCCCGGUACGGGCCAGCAUCGGUUUUCGCGGGGGGAUAAGAGCGGCGGGAACGUGGCCCCUCCGGGGGUGUUAUAGCCCGCCGCACGAUGCCCUCUUGGAGACCGAGGUUCGCGCUCUGCAAGGAUGCUGGCAUAAUGGUCAUCGGCGACCCGUCUUGAAACACGGACCAAGGAGUCGUCCAUUACGGCGAGCGUUUGGGUGUCAAACCCCUACGCGUAAUGAAAGUGAACGCAGGUGAGAGCUUCGGCGCAUCAUCGACCGAUCCUGAUGUACUCGGAUGGAUUUGAGUAAGAGUCGUACCGGACGGACCCGAAAGAUGGUGAACUAUGCCUGUAUAGGGUGAAGCCAGAGGAAACUCUGGUGGAGGCUCGCAGCGGUUCUGACGUGCAAAUCGAUCGUCAAAUAUGGGCAUGGGGGCGAAAGACUAAUCGAACCAUCUAGUA